GAUGAACGCUGGCGGCGUGCUUAACACAUGCAAGUCGAGCGGAAAGGCCUCUGCUUGCAGGGGUACUCGAGUGGCGAACGGGUGAGUAACACGUGGGUGAUCUGCCCUGCACUUCGGGAUAAGCCUGGGAAACUGGGUCUAAUACCGGAUAGGACAAUGGUUUGGAUGCUGUUGUGGAAAGUUUUUCGGUGUGGGAUGAGCUCGCGGCCUAUCAGCUUGUUGGUGGGGUAAUGGCCUACCAAGGCGUCGACGGGUAGCCGGCCUGAGAGGGUGUACGGCCGCAUUGGGACUGAGAUACGGCCCAGACUCCUACGGGCGGCAGCAGUGGGGAAUAUUGCACAAUGGGCGCCCGCCUGAUGCAGCGACGCCGCGUGGGGGAUGACGGCCUUCGGGUUGUAAACUCCUUUCGCUAGGGACGAAGCGUUUUUGUGACGGUACCUGGAGAAGAAGCACCGGCUAACUACGUG
rnacentral:rRNA from 1 species